rnacentral:rRNA from 1 species
GAUGAACGCUGACAGAAUGCUUAACACAUGCAAGUCUUUGGCGAAGCUGUGCUUGCACAGCCUAGCCAAGGCGGACGGGUGAGUAACGCGUAAGGAACUUGUCCUGCAGUCAGGGAUAACAGACGGAAACGACUGAUAAGACCUGGUAAAGUCAGGCGGACUCAUGUCCAGCCUGAUGAAAAGAGAUGCUGCAGGAGAGCCUUGCGUCCUAUUAGCUUGUUGGUGGGGUAACGGCCCACCAAGGCGAUGAUAGGUAGCCGGCCUGAGAGGGUGGACGGCCACAAGGGGACUGAGAUACGGCCCUUACUCCUACGGGAGGCAGCAGUGGGGAAUAUUGGACAAUGGGGGCAACCCUGAUCCAGCAAUUCUGUGUGCACGAUGAAGGUUUUCGGAUUGUAAAGUGCUUUCAGCAGGGAAGAAAAAAAUGACGGUACCUGCAGAAGAAGCGUCGGCUAAAUACGUG